rnacentral:rRNA from 1 species
AAUGAACGCUGGCGGCGUGCCUAAUACAUGCAAGUCGAGCGAACAGACGAGGAACUUGCUCCUCUGACGUUAGCGACGGACGGGUGAGUAACACGUGGAUCACCUACCUAUAUGACUGGGAUAACUACGGGAAACAGGAGCCAAUACCGGAUAAUACAUUGAACCGCGUGGUUCAAUAGUGAAUGUCGCUUUUGCUGUCACAUAUAGAUGGUGCCGGGCCGCAUUAUCUAGUUGGUAAGGUAACCGCUUACCAAGGCAACGAUGCGUAGCCGAACUGAGAGGUAGAUCAGCAACACUGGAACUGUGACACGGUCCAGACUCCUACGGCAGGAAGCAGUGGGCAGUCUUGAACAAUGGGCGAACGCCUGACGUAGCAACCCCGCGCGAGUGAAGAAGGUCUUCGGAUCGUAAAACUCUGUUAUUAGGGAAGAAAAACUGUGCAGCAAGAUCCGCACGUCUUGACGGUACCUAAUCAGAAAGCAACGGCUAACUACGUG